CUUCCCAUUUACUCAGCACUAUGUGAGCAAAACUAAGCCUACAAGAAGUUUAAGGCCUGGUGAAGACUGCAUCUGCACUGCUGCCAUGUGGAGGUCUGCUUCAUUUAGCCUAUAGAGAGUCUUUUUUCAGUGGGAAAACUGGAACACAAUGGCUCACAAAUAAAAUGUUGCUGUCAGUGUUGCUGCUUUUAUGAACUGCAAAGCAGAACCACCAGGCAUUCCAACAGUGUGUAGAUAAGAACCGUCAGCGCCAAGGCACUAAACUGUCAGAUUCCUGUAAAGAACGUGGCCCCCAGGAACAUACACCUAAGUUUGUUCAAGUGUUCACCACAGGAAGAGCCACGCUGGUGGAAGAGGCUGCAGCACCCUGGCCCUUGUCUGCAGAGUCCUGACUCCAGAGCUGAGCCAACUGAACCAGAUACAGAGGUUGUCUUCCCCAAACAAGUGCUAAACCACCCAUAUUAAUUCAGUUGGUUGUCAUUUUGUAAGUGAAUGGGGCUGACCCUACACUGUCAGGGCAAGGGACAAUCCCAGCUGGCCCUCUGAGGGGACACUAACCUGUACCAGGAGAAUGGGAAGAAGGUGGAAAGGAGUACUAUAGGAAAAAUAGGAUAGAGGUCUGCAAAAUGCUGGCCACUGUGGAGAAGGAGUGACUAUUCACUUGUCCCUUUCAGUAAAAGAUCAAUGGGCUACAAAGAGAGACGAUGAAUAUGGCCCCCCAUUGCCACAACUCAGACAGAUGAGUUGCCUGUUUUGUGGACUGAAAGUCCAGCCCGAGAGUCCAGCCCAAGGACCAAGAGUCCAGCCCUGCGCUGAACUCUCUCCAGAAGUUCUCUGUUCCUCUUGAGCCCAGAAUCGGACACAGGACUCCAGAUGAGGCCUCACCAGUGCAGAGUAGAGGGGGAACAGAACCUCCCUCAACCUGCUGGCUACACUCUUGGUGCAUCCCAGACACCAUUGGCCUUCUUGGCCACGAGGGCACAUUGCUGGCUCAUGUUUAGUUUAUCAUCAACUAGGGCUCCCAGGUUCCUCUCUGCAGAGCUGCUCUCCGGCAGGAGUUGAAACCCUUUCUCCACUACGGUGAGUAAGAGCUAGGCUUGUCCUAAAACUACGUAUUGUAGCAGUGAAUUCCAUAACCCAGAUAAUUUAAUGGAUCUGGGGGAUCUGACCACACAGCCUUUGCCCAUAUUAAGCACCAGAGCAGAGUGCAGAGUGUACAAUGAAGUAACACUAU